rnacentral:rRNA from 1 species
AUUGAACGCUGGCGGCAUGCCUUACACAUGCAAGUCGAACGGUAACGGGCCUUCGGGUGCCGACGAGUGGCGAACGGGUGAGUAAUGCAUCGGAACGUACCUUUCAGUGGGGGAUAACGUAGCGAAAGUUACGCUAAUACCGCAUAUUCUGUGAGCAGGAAAGCAGGGGAUCGCAAGACCUUGCGCUGAUUGAGCGGCCGAUGUCAGAUUAGCUAGUUGGUGAGGUAAAGGCUCACCAAGGCGACGAUCUGUAGCGGGUCUGAGAGGAUGAUCGCCACACUGGAACUGAGACACGGUCCAGACUCCUACGGGAGGCAGCAGUGGGGAAUUUUGGACAAUGGGGGCAACCCUGAUCCAGCCAUGCCGCGUGAGUGAAGAAGGCCU